rnacentral:rRNA from 1 species
UACGUAGGGUGCAAACGUUGCUCGGAAUCAUUGGGCGUAAAGCGCACGUAGGUGGUUUGUUAAGUCGGGUGUGAAAUCCCUGGGCUCAACCCAGGAAGUGCACUCGAAACUGGCAGACUUGAGUACUGAAGAGGGUCGCGGAAUUCCCGGUGUAGAGGUGAAAUUCGUAGAUAUCGGGAGGAACACCAGUGGCGAAGGCGGCGACCUGGGCAGAUACUGACGCUGAGGCGCGAAAGCGUGGGGAGCAAACAGG